rnacentral:rRNA from 1 species
GACGAACGCUGGCGGCGUGCUUAACACAUGCAAGUCGAACGCUGAAGCUUGGUGCUUGCACUGGGUGGAUGAGUGGCGAACGGGUGAGUAAUACGUGAGUAACCUGCCCUUGACUCUGGGAUAAGCCUGGGAAACUGGGUCUAAUACUGGAUAUGACAUGCCACUGCAUGGUGGUGUGUGGAAAGGGUUUUACUGGUUUUGGAUGGGCUCACGGCCUAUCAGCUUGUUGGUGGGGUAAUGGCCUACCAAGGCGACGACGGGUAGCCGGCCUGAGAGGGUGACCGGCCACACUGGGACUGGGACACGGCCCAGACUCCUACGGGAGGCAGCAGUGGGGAAUAUUGCACAAUGGGCGGAAGCCUGAUGCAGCGACGCCGCGUGAGGGAUGACGGCCUUCGGGUUGUAAACCUCUUUCAGCACGGAAGAAGCGAGAGUGACGGUACGUGCAGAAGAAGCGCCGGCUAACUACGUG